rnacentral:lncRNA from 1 species
GGGUCGCCAAUAUCUCUUCGUUCUCGUACUCACUCAGGCACACCACACAAAUUUCAGCCUCUUCACGCUCAGCCUGUUUUACACCAGGUGUUGUAUGAUACCUUCUAGUCUUCAGAUGUUGGGAGAUGGUUUCUUCCAGUCAAUCAUCUCCAGGGCCAUCCGAUUCUUCAACAUCAGCAUUCGAAUCUUCAUACAGAUCAAACACCGUAGGCUCCUGCCCAUGACUCAGUUCAACCAAUGCAGUCUCUUCUUCUGGCUCAAUCCUAAUCCGCAUGAAGAUAUUUGAAAACUGGUAAUCAGAUUCUUGAAACCAGCCACCAGUAUUAUUAGUGUUGUUCUCCUCGUACUC